rnacentral:rRNA from 1 species
AGAGGGUGCGAGCGUUGUCCGGAAUUACUGGGCGUAAAGGGCGCGUAGGCGGCCUGAUAAGUCGGGGGUGAAAUUCAGCGGCUCAACCGCUGGACUGCCUUCGAGACUGUUAGGCUCGAGCACGGUAGAGGCUGGUGGAAUUCCCGGUGUAGCGGUGGAAUGCGUAGAGAUCGGGAAGAACAUCGGUGGCGAAGGCGGCCAGCUGGGCCGUUGCUGACGCUGAUGCGCGACAGCGUGGGGAGCAAACAGGAUUAGAUACCCUGGUAGUCCACGCCGUAAACGAUGGGCACUAGGCGCCGGGGGGAGCGACCCCUUCGGUGCCGUCGUUAACACAGUAAGUGCCCCGCCUGGGGAGUACGGCCGCAAGGCUGAA